UGCCAAUGAUGAACAAAAGUACUGUGUAAUUUAUGAUAAAUCAUGAUUACAACUAUACUACUGCCUUCCUUCUGAGGCU